GUGUCAGCCGCCGCGGUAAGACGGAGGAGGCAAGCGUUGUCCGGAAUCAUUGGGCGUAAAGAGCGCGUAGGCGGUUUUUCAAGUCGUAUGUGAAAACUUCAGGCUUAACCUGAUGAUUGCAUAUGAAACUGGAUAACUUGAGUACAGCAGAGGAAAGUGGAAUUCCUGGUGUAGCGGUGAAAUGUGCAGAUAUCAGGAAGAACACCAGUAGCGAAGGCGGCUUUCUGGGCUGUUACUGACGCUGAGGCGCGAAAGCUAGGGGAGCGAACAGGAUUAGAUACCCUGGUAGUCCUAGCCGUAAACGAUGGACACUAGGCGUGGGAAGUUAUCGACGCUUUCUGUGCCGAAGCUAACGCAUUAAGUGUCCCGCCUGGGGAGUACGGCCGCAAGGCUAAAACUCAAAGGAAUUGACGGGG
rnacentral:rRNA from 1 species